GGGCACGUCUGCCUGGGUGUC
rnacentral:siRNA from 1 species